CAGUCGAACGAAGAGCGAUGGAAGCUUGCUUCUAUCAAUCUUAGUGGCGAACGGGUGAGUAACGCGUAAUCAACCUGCCCUUCAGAGGGGGACAACAGUUGGAAACGACUGCUAAUACCGCAUACGAUCUAAUCUCGGCAUCGAGGAUAGAUGAAAGGUGGCCUCUACAUGUAAGCUAUCACUGAAGGAGGGGAUUGCGUCUGAUUAGCUAGUUGGAGGGGUAACGGCCCACCAAGGCGAUGAUCAGUAGCCGGUCUGAGAGGAUGAACGGCCACAUUGGGACUGAGACACGGCCCAGACUCCUACGGGAGGCAGCAGUGGGGAAUCUUCCGCAAUGGACGAAAGUCUGACGGAGCAACGCCGCGUGAGUGAUGACGGCCUUCGGGUUGUAAAGCUCUGUUAAUCGGGACGAAAGGCCUUCUUGCGAAUAGUGAGAAGGAUUGACGGUACCGGAAUAGAAAGCCACGGCUAACUACGUGCCAGCAGCCGCGGUAAUACGUAGGUGGCAAGCGUUGUCCGGAAUUAUUGGGCGUAAAGCGCGCGCAGGCGGAUCAGUCAGUCUGUCUUAAAAGUUCGGGGCUUAACCCCGUGAGGGGAUGGAAACUGCUGAUCUAGAGUAUCGGAGAGGAAAGUGGAAUUCCUAGUGUAGCGGUGAAAUGCGUAGAUAUUAGGAAGAACACCAGUGGCGAAGGCGACUUUC
rnacentral:rRNA from 1 species